rnacentral:rRNA from 1 species
GCAACGAAGUGGCUCCAGGAUAGCGAACGCUGGAAUGGGUGGGACGUCUUCAUCGGCUUUCCUUGAAUAAUUAACAAUUAACUCAGAACUGAAGCGGACAAGGGGAAUCCGACUGUUUAAUAAAACAUAGCAUUGUGAUGGCCUGAAAAGGUGUUGACACAAUGUGAAUUCUGCCCAGUGCUUUGAAUGUCAAAGUGAAGAAAUUCAACCAAGCGCAGGUAAACGGCGGGAGUAACUAUGACUCUCUUAAGGUAGCCAAAAUGCUUGUCUCAAAGAUUAAGCCAUGCAAGUGUAAGUUUAGUUGUCAAACAGUGAAACUGCGAAUGGCUCAUUAAAUCAGUUAUAGUUUAUUGAUGCUAUAGGUCGUAAGGCCACUACAUGGAUAUCUGUAGUAACAUAGAGCUAAUACAUGCAAUAUAGUCUGACUUUUUGGAAGGUACUAGCACUUAUUAGAUAUUAAACCAAUACUUCGUAAGAAGUUUUAUGGUGAUUCAUAGUAACU